rnacentral:lncRNA from 1 species
GGAUGAGUACCUCUAGAAUGAAGGUCAUCGUUGCCGACGGGACUGCUGGUGGAGCUGCCGCUACUGAUGAAAACGCCGGAGGAGCCUCUAUCGCCGAUGAAGCUGCUGCCACCGCUGCUGGAGCUACCGGCGGGACCUCCAUUGCUGGUGGAGUUCGUGAUGGUGUCGCCAUUGGGGAGAUGAAGCAGAAUGCAGAUGGGAGGGGGAUCACCAGAGAUGCGAUUGGAAGCCAAAAGGGUGCCGGAAGAAGAUGGAAACUAGUGUGCCGGGAAGGAAGUUACUGGUUUGUAAAUAAGAAGUACAAGGCAUGCCAGUAUUUAAAGAUGGUCCGAGAGGGGUAAAGGCGGGAUUUUUACCGUGCCGUCUUCAUGAAUUUCGGGGGGAGUGGUUGUCUCAGGCGCCUGUUUUGAAAAGAUUGCAAUCAUCAGGUAGGAGACCGCGAAACGGAAGGAGAUUCUUGACGUGUUUGUUUCGGAGGAGAAGUUAAAAAGAAUUUCGAAGUAAAAGUUAUGUUUUACUCUGAAACUAGGGGGCAUGUGUUGACGCCAGAUUUUGACACGUAUGGAAUCGGUGUCAAGGGAGGAAAGGGCUGGCCAAUGCGGCAGAUUAAAAGGUCACGAUUGGGAAUCGGCCGAUUGGCGCUACAGUUGGGGAUUGGCCGAUUGGUGCUUCAAUGUUUUGGC